rnacentral:lncRNA from 1 species
UUUCAAUAUUUUAUAAUUUAUCCAAUAGAUAUUAAUGAAAUCCUGAGGAAUGCUGAUGGAGAAUACUCAAGAGUUUUAACCAUUUCCCCUUUUCCCAAAUCAGUGAAUGAGCAGUGACAGUAGUAAUAACAAUGAAUAUGGGGAUCUCCAAAGGGGCACCUGGUGAAUAGCACUCCUCUUCCCCACCAGGCUUCUAAACUUGUUGAGAAAUAAGAAAACUGAGAGAAGUAGAGGGUAAGUAUCACCUUGAUUGUAAGAAGAAGCCACCUUGGAAGAUGUGGCUGUAAGUCUUCUCCACCAAUCAUGACAAUGCUGAACUGGGACAGGCCUCCCAGUUUGGCUGGCAUCAACAAAAACACAGAGGAUUUACUUUCCAGGAAUUUUUCAUGUGCCUCCUCCUGGCACAGGAGCCUGUCCCAAACUGGACCCAUGGGAAAAACGAUGUUCAUUAAAAGGAAGAUGGGAGCAGACCCUGACCCAAUGGGACAAAGAAUGCUACUAUUAAUUUCAGCAAAGGAAAUACACAUUUCCCACAUGCUAAUUCAAGUAUACAGACAUCUGAACUCAACCAUGGAAGCUGGUGGCAGACUGUUCAACCUUUGGGGUGAUGAUCUAUAGGACAUUGUUUGUAGGCUGAUUUGAUAAAUGUUGCAUGCAUUGAAAGGGAGCUGCCCACUUUGGAAAAACCUAACUCGGUAAAUUCAUCUUGGUUCUGAAUACAUGUUUUGAGCUCCUUUUUGUCUUGAACUGGACACUUUAGACUGUGUCCUUGAUGGAU